rnacentral:rRNA from 1 species
UACGGAGGGUGCAAGCGUUAAUCGGAAUUACUGGGCGUAAAGCGUGCGCAGGCGGUUUGUUAAGUCUGCUGUGAAAUCCCCGAGCUCAACUUGGGAAUUGCAGUGGAUACUGGCAGGCUGGAGUAUGGUAGAGGAAGGUGGAAUUCCCGGUGUAGCAGUGAAAUGCGUAGAGAUCGGGAGGAACACCAGUGGCGAAGGCGGCCUUCUGGACCAAUACCGACGCUCAUGCACGAAAGCGUGGGGAGCAAACAGG